rnacentral:rRNA from 1 species
UACGAAGGGGGCUAGCGUUGCCCGGAAUCACUGGGCGUAAAGGGUGCGUAGGCCGCACGGAAAGUCAGAGGUGAAAUCCCGGAGCUCAACUUCGGAAUUGCCUCCGAUACUCCCGUGCUUGAGGACUGGAGAGGAGUCUGGAAUUCACAGUGGAGCAGUGAAAUGCGCAGAUAUCAGGAGGAACACCUAUGGCGAAGGCAGCUCGCUGGGACGGUACUGACGCUGAGGCGCGAAAGCGUGGGGAGCGAACAGG